AUUGAACGCUGGCGGCAGGCCUAACACAUGCAAGUCGAACGAGUGGCGGACGGGUGAGUAAUGUCUGGGAAACUGCCUGAUGGAGGGGGAUAACUACUGGAAACGGUAGCUAAUACCGCAUACCAUCGGAUGUGCCCAGAUGGGAUUAGCUAGUAGGUGGGGUAAAGGCUCACCUAGGCGACGAUCCCUAGCUGGUCUGAGAGGAUGACCGGCCACACUGGAACUGGGACACGGUCCAGACUCCGACGGUGGGCAGCAGUGGGGAAUAUUGAACAAUGGGCGCAAGCCUGAUGCAGCCAUGCCGCGUGUGUGAAGAAGGCCUUCGGGUUGUAAAGUACUUUCAGCGAGGAGGCGUUACCCGCAGAAGAAGAACCGGCUAACUCCGUGCCAGCAGCCGCGGUAAUAC
rnacentral:rRNA from 1 species